UCAGACAUGGUGUAAUGGGAGCAUCGUCUCGCAAUAUAUAUUUGGUAGUGGUUUUCAUAUUACGAGGCUGUUCAGGGUUCGAAUCCCUGUGUCUGAC